UUUUAAAUUUCUCGAAUUUAAAAAAUUUAAAUUUUUAUUUUUAUUAAUAUAUAAAUAUUAAAUGUAAUAAAAAUUUAGAAACGAUAAAUUAAACAAUUUUAAAUAUAUCUAGUUAUUUAAUAAAUAAAUUUAAUUUAUUUUUAAUUUAAAAUUUUAAUUUUUUUUAAAAUUUAAUUUAAAAUUAAAAAAAUAAUUUAAGGGAUAAACUUUAAAUUAAUUUUAUAAAUUUAAUAUUAAAUUUUAUAAUUUAAAAAUAAAAUUAUUUUUAAUUAAAAAAUAUUUAAUAAUUUUAUAAAUUUAUUUAAUUAAUUUAAUAAUAAAUUUUAAUUUUUUAUUAAAUUAUUAAAUUUAAUAAAAUAAUUUAAAAAAUAAUGAUUAAAUUAGUAAUUUAAUAAUAAUUUAAAUUUUAUAAAUUUUAAAUUAAAAAUUAAUUUUAAUUAACUCGGCAAAUUAAUAUAUUCACCUGUUUAUCAAAAACAUGUCUUAUUGAUUAAUAAUUUUAAGUCAAAUCUGCUCAAUGAAUUUAUUUAAAUAGCUGCAGUAUAAAUAACUGUACAAAGGUAGCAUAAUAAUUAGUUUUUUAAUUAAAAACUGGAAUGAAUGAUUUAAUGAAAUAUAAUCUGUAUCAAAUUUAAUAAAUAAAUUUAUUUUUUAAAUUAAAAAAUUUAAAUAAUUUUUAAAGACGAGAAGACCCUAAAGAAUUUUAAUAAUUUUUUUUUAAAAAAAAUUAAAUUAUUUUUAUUGGGGAAAUUUUAAAAUUUAAUUAAUUUUUAAUUAAAUUAAACAUUUAUUUUUGAAUAAUUUUUUUUUUUUAAAAAAAAAAUUAAAUUACCUUAGGGAUAACAGCAUAAUUUUUUUAAAAAGCUCAAAUUUAUAAAAAAGUUUAUGACCUCGAUGUUGAAUUAAGAUUAAUUUAAUAGAAAAAUAUUAAAAAUUUAAGUCUGUUCGACUUUUAAAAUCUUACAUGAUUUGAGUUAAGAUCGGUGUAAACCAGAUCGGAUUCUAUCUUAAAUUUAUUUAAAUAUUUUUGUACGAAAGGAAUUUUUAUUUAAAAUAAUUUUUUAUACUAAUAAUUUUAUUUAAAUUAAUAAUUAA
rnacentral:rRNA from 1 species